GCGUCAAUUCGAAAAUGGAGGAUUCUCAAGUUUAACGCUGUACUGGGGGGUCUCAGACUGUGCAGAUCUAGCCUCGGUCUCUUGGAAGAAAAACUGUUGGCGAAGACAGACGUGCUAUUUUUGUCCAGUCCAAGUAUAAAGAAAAAAAAAAGAGGAAUAAAAACCGGGAAAAGAUCUUAACAGCUGAAUACAGCAAAAAGAAAGAAAUAUUGUGCGUUUAUAAAGUAAAAGUGUGUUAAGUGCCAAUCUCAAUUGAUUGGCGGUUAGUACCGGCUUAAACUUCGGGCAAUCGUUUGGGUACCUGUCUGAACCCCAAUACGAAAGCUCGCAACAACAAUUUCCCCGAUAUUAGGGCCUCCGCCCGCGGCAAGGGACUUAUGCUCCUCGCCCAACUACAGCUCCGUACCAAAAAUUCCCAGCGCUAGGCCGAGCAGCACAAAGCGGGAGGCGUAAAAGAUCGGCUCAUCAGUCGCUUUGCGGGCGCGAGCCACUUAUGUGUCACGGACCCGCGAUAUAUUGGAGGCCGUCCAAUUCUGCGGAAAUUAUUAAAGCUAUGUAAACGCUUUCGUUUUAGGAACGUUGCCGCAGUCCAUGGAAGCGCUUUCAUCGCUGUUUCAACGCAUUUAUUAAAACAAAUCAAAGGAAGGCCUCAGGGGCUUCGUCGCUUAAGAGAGGCUGUGCGCUCUCCCUUAUGCCCUGCUGGCAACCAUAAGCGCUUACGCCGCGCAUAAGAACCAGGC